CAUUAGCUAGUAGGUGAGGUAAGAGCUCACCUAGGCGACGAUGUGUAGCCGGUCUGAGAGGAUGAACGGCCACAAUGGAACUGAGACACGGUCCAUACUCCUACGGGAGGCAGCAGUGGGGAAUAUUGCACAAUGGGGGAAACCCUGAUGCAGCAACGCCGCGUGAGUGAAGAAGGUUUUCGGAUUGUAAAGCUCUGUUAGCAGGGAAGAGGAAGGACGGUACCUGCAGAGGAAGCCACGGCUAACUACGUGCCAGCAGCCGCGGUAAUACGUAGGUGGCAAGCGUUGUUCGGAAUAACUGGGCGUAAAGGAUGCGUAGGCGGUUGAGUAAGUUAUGUGUUAAAUAUAUAGGCUUAACCUGUAGAAAGCACAUAAAACUGCUUAACUAGAGUGCAGGAGAGGUAAGUGGAAUUCCUAGUGUGGCGGUGAAAUGCGUAGAGAUUAGGAAGAACACCAGUGGCGAAGGCGACUUACUGGACUGUAACUGACGCUGAGGCAUGAGAGCAUGGGGAGCAAACAGGAUUAGAUACCCUGGUAGUCCAUGCUGUAAACGAUGGGUACUAGGUGUGGGUUGUGAAUAACAAUCCGUGCCGUCGCAAACGCAAU
rnacentral:rRNA from 1 species